UGGUGGAGUGAUUUGUCUGCUUAAUUGCGAUAACGAACGAGACCUCGGCUUACUAAAUAGUUACGAGAAGUUUCUAACGGGUGAAGCUAGACGAGUAGGGCUCUUUGAGGGAAACCUCGGGGAGCUCCUCUCUGGUGGAUCCUUGAAACAUUCUCGGUCAACUUCUUAGGGGAACAAUUCACGUUAAGUGAGGGGAAGAUCGAGGCAAUAACA
rnacentral:rRNA from 1 species